CCCUUAGAUGUUCUGGGCCGCACGCGCGCUACACUGAUGCAUUCAACGAGCCUAUCCUUGACCGACAGGUCCGGGUAAUCUUUGAAUCUGCAUCGUGACGGGGAUAGAUUAUUGCAAUUAUUAAUCUUCAACGAGGAAUGCCUAGUAGGCGCAAGUCAUCAGCUUGCGUCGAUUACGUCCCUGCCCUUUGUACACACCGCCCGUCGCUCCUACCGAUUGAGUGGUCCGGUGAGGCUUUGGGAUCUGAGCAAAGAGAGCGUUUCGCUCGUUUUGCCCGGAAAACUCAGUCGAACCUUAUCAUUUAGAGGAAGGAGAAGUCGUAACA
rnacentral:rRNA from 1 species